rnacentral:lncRNA from 1 species
AGACACUAUCAAGCAGGAAAAGAGCUACCAGAGACCACCUCUGAGGAGGAGUCAAGCUCAGCAUCCAGGGGCAGCCGUGCCCCGCUCCCCACUUCCUGACGGCAGCAGGUCCACAAGGAGGCCCCCACCACUGCAGUGAAGCGGGGAGGGCUUGGUGAGCCCCAGCCUCACCAGCAGCUCCCCGGCAGGAUCAUGCUGCCAUUCUCGUUGCCCCUGUGCCCCACCAUGGCCUCCAUAGAAGGUGUGUGGACAUUGUCUGCCUUUUUGGAACUUGGAUCUGAGUGGACCUGGGUUCCACUCCUGCGAUGUGACAGUAGGAAACAGAUGUGAUGACCAGAGGUGCAGCAGCCACCAUGUGACCAUGAGGAGGACAUGUAUAGCUAUGACAGAGCAGGAAAACAGAGAUCCCACGUCCCCAGGGACAUCUUUGAGCUACUGUAUCAGCUCAGGACUGCCUUCUCCC